UUAACUUGUUUAAUACAUUAUAUUAACAGAUAAAAGCCUUUGGGAUAAAACUUCUAAUACAUUACCAUUUUAAUGACUGCUGUGCCGCUGGAGUUUUGGUCCAACACUGCAUCUCUUCUUCUGGAUUCGGUCACUUGACUGAGGAUACCACAGAAUGGAGUGGGUCCUGGCUGUAAAACAAGGUGGCCCAAUGGUCUGGGGUCCUGAUGCCAAUUCAGCCUGGACGCUACCCACAAGUUCUCCUUCAGGCCUGUUAAUCAGCUGGCUUCUGCUUCAUUGUUUCAGGAGUCAGAACCGGCAGUGCAGAGACUAUAACAGCCAGACGGAGUCUCCCUUCAACAGUAAUUGCAUUAACAAUGUAAGCCGAUGAAAAGUACGUCAGAGAUGUAUAUUGGAAAGUUGCUUGCAAAUUCAUUUUCUUUUUUUAUGUAAAAAAAAAAAAAACAGUUGUAGGGAGGAGUUCCCCUUUAAGAGAAGUUCCCUUUUGUUCUCUUCCUGUAUGACCAGACAGCUGUCCCUGCUUCUUUGCUUUCUGGCAUAAAAUCAUCUCAAUGUUACAGUACAAGAUUCCCAGGAACCCAAAUAAUAUUAUGUCGAGAUUUCAGUAAAACCCUGCGAGGAAUCCACAGCACUAAGGAACUGUGAGUGUUUUCCCAGCUGGAUGGUGACUCACGGUGAGGAAUUUGUAAAUGAUUCUCUGCAGGACGGUGCCUGGGGAAGAGAAUAAAGCCGGGAAAAGGGACAGUAGCUAAAUUGCCUGCUGCUUUUAAGGGAUUGCACUUUGGAUGCUCUGUCCUAUAUAAACCAAUUUUGAAGAGGUAGCGACCUCCCCUUUAAAACCACACAGAUAACGGCGCAGUCUGCAGCAUGCCUCUUAGGGUUUCAUCUGGACAACCCGUUUUUUUAGAAGGAAAAAAUGAGGAAAUCCAGCCAGGACGUUGAAGUUAAUGGCCUCGUCACCAGCUCCUCCUCUUGAUGUCACCAGCCUGCCCCAAAGUCACUGGCACACCCCAAUGUCAUCUACCCCAACUGUCCUGUUUUUUUUGACAACUCCUGGAUUGUUACUGAAAUGUCCCUACUUUCUCUUAAAUCUGCUCUGAACUGCCUGUGAGUGCAGCCAUCGUGCAGCGAGUGAGCCCAUUAGGCAUUCCUGGGUGCGGCUCAGUGCAAAGGCUGUGGCCGCAGAGAGACAGGUGCUAGCCAUCCAUCACAGUAGCAGCCCCAAUCAAUUAUUUUCCAAUGAAUGAAAUGCAGCAGCUUUACAGCCGCCAAUGCAGCAGGCUCACUGCAGUGCAAUUAUUGCAAGGGCAGCCGUCCCAUAUCAAGCAUCAAUGUGUCCUUAAUAAAGUGCCAUUAAUUCCAA